GGGCCUCUCACCGCUGUGGCCUCUCCCGCUGCGGAGCACAGGCUCCGGACGCGCAGGCCCAGCAGCCAUGGCUCACGGGCCCAGCCGCUCCGCGGCAUGUGGGAUCUUCCCGGACCGGGGCACGAACCUGCGUCCCCUGCAUCGGCAGGCGGACUCCCAACCACCGCGCCACCAGGGAAGCCCAGGACUUUUUUUUUUAAUUGUUUAAAUUAAAUUAAAUUGUUUAAGUUGGGGUAGGUCUUGCCUUAAUUUAGGCUCCAGUGGACUUAAGCAGUCAGGAGUUUGUUAUCUCACAUGACAAGAAGUAGAAUAUGGUGGUUCUGGGUUUGGUUUAUUCAGCAGUUCAACGAAAUCAUCAUUGAUUAUUGUUUCAUUCUUUCCAUUUUCUUCUCUGGCAUUCUCACCUGUGCAGAGCCAGAUGCAGAGAGAGAGAAGAGGGGAGGGGGAGAGAGAAUGAAUAUUCCUGUGUCAUUUUUUAAGGUCAAUGCAAAUCAUUCUUAGAAGCCCCCUGGGCAGAUUUCCCCCUAAAUCUCAUUGGCCAGAAUUGUGUCACAUCCCGACACCUAAACCAAUCACUGGUUUAGUGUGGGAUUGCCAUGGCCAGCCUAGACCAAUCAGAACUUAACCCUGAGUCUCACGGGGGAGGGGUGGAUAUCUGAAUAAAAUUGGAGUUCUGUUAGUUAAGGAAGAAAUGGCAGAGGAGCAGGGAAGGUUCUAGAUAGACAACUAACAGUGUUUGCCACAAUAACUUUCUUACUUUUUCUGUAACUUAAGUCCCAUUGUGCCUAUUGUUAGAAAAUAAAACUGAUAAACUCAGUUUUAUGAAUUGUCAUCUUCUCCCUUCUUCUUGGAGUAGCGCCUAAGUGUGAAGGGCUGGGGGAACCACUAGUCCUUGAUUGGCACCUAUAUGCUUUGAUUUCUUUUUAUUUUUAACUGUGGUAAAAAAACAUAACAUAAAAUUUACCGUCUUAAUCAUUUUCAAGUGCAGGGUUCAGUAGUGUCAAGCAUAUUCACAUUGUUGUGGAUUAAAUCUCCAGAAUGUUUUCAUCUUGCAACCCUGAAACUCUGUACCCAUUGAACGACUCCUCAUUUUUCUCUCCCCGCCAGCCCCUGGCAACCAUCGCUCUACUUUCUCUAUGAUUUUGAUUGCUCUAGAUAACUUAUCUAAGUGGAAUUCAUACAGUAUUUCUCUUUUUGUGGCUGGCUUAUUUCUCUUAGCAUAAAGUCCUUCAAGUUCAUCCAUGUUGUAGCAUGUGGCAGAUUUCAUUCCUUUUUCUGUUAAAUAAUAUUCCAUUGUAUGUACAUUCCAUAUUUUCUUUAUCUAUUCAGCUGUCAAUGAGCAUUUGGAUUGCUUCUACCUCUUGGCCAUUGUGGGUAAUGCUGCAGUGCACGUAGCUGUGCAAAUAUCUCUUUGAGAUCUUGCUUUCAGUUCUUUCGGAUAUAUACCCAGAAGUGGGACUGCUGGAUCAUAUGGUAAUUCUAUUUAAUUUUUUGAGGAAACAGCAUACUAUCUUCAAUAGUGGCUACACUAUUUUACAUUCACACCAACAUUGCACAAGAGUUUCAAUUUCUCCACGUCCUCACCAAUGCUUGUUAUUUUCUGUUUUGUUUUGUUUUGUGUUGAUAGCAGCCAUCCUAAUGGAUGUGAGGUGGUAUCUAUUUGUGGUUUCGAUUUGCAUUUCCCUAAUGCUUAACAGUGUUGAACAUCUUUUCAUGUGCUUGUAAGCCAUUUGUAUAUUUUCUUUGGAGAAGUGUCUAUUUUAUUUCUUUCCCCAUUUUUCAAUCAGAUUAUUUGGUUUUUUGUUGUUGAGUUGUAGGUGCUCUUUUCAUAUUCUGGUUAUUAAACCACUUAUCAGAUAUAUGAUUUACAUAUAUUUUCUCCCAUUCUCUAGGUUGCCUUCACACCUUGUUGAUUGUUUCCUUUGAUGCACAGAAGUUUUUAAGUGUGAUGAAGUCCCAUUUGUCUCUUUUUGCUUUUGAUGCCUGUACAUUUGGGUCAUAUCCAAGAAAUCAUUGUCAAAUCCAAUGGCAUGAAGCUUUUCUCCUAUGUUUUCUUCUAGGGGUUUUAUAGUUUGGGGGUCUUAUGUAAUCCAUUUUGAGUUAAUUUUUGUGUAUGAUAUAAGAUUAGGGUUCAACCUCAUUCUUUUUCAUAUGGAUGUCCAGCUUUCCCGACACCAUUUGUUGAAGAGACCAUCCUUUUCCCAUUGAGUGGUCUUGGCACCCUUCUCAUAGAUCAUUUGACCACAUACACAAGGGUUUAUUUCUGAGUUCUCUAUUCUGUUCAUUUAUCUGUCUUUAUGCCAUACAACACUGUUUUGAUUACUGUAGGUUUUUAGUAAGGUUUGAAAUCAGGAAGUACGAGGUCUCCAACUUUGUCCUUUUUCAAGAUUAUUGUAGCAAUUUGGGGUCCUUUGAAAUACAAUAUGAACUUCAGGAUGUUUUUUCCUAUUUCUGCAAAAAAUGUCAUUGGGGUUUUGGUAGGGAUUGCAUUGAAUCUGUAAAUCAUUUUGGGUAGUAUUGACAUCUUAACAAUAUUAAGUCUUCCAGUCCAUGAACAUGGAUGUCUUUCCAUUUAUCUGUGUGUCUUCUUUAAUUUCUUUCAGCAAUGUUUUGUAGUUUUGCCUCCUGGAUUAAGUUUGUUCCUAAAUAUUUUAUUCUUUUUGAUGCUGUUAUGAAUUGGAUUGUUUUCUUAAUUUCCUUUUUUGGAUUGUUCAUGGUUAGUUUACUUUGGUUUUGACUGAGAUGAUCUCUGGCCUUAGGAUGCAUACCACACUCCCUUGUUCCAACUAGGAAACCCUCUCAGUUUCUCCCUCCCUGCCCCUCUGCUGGCUUCCGUGCCCUUCUCCAGGCACAGGAAGGGUGCUGCUCUCUGGGACCACAGAAAACCCAGAGGAAUCUUGGUUCCUUCUGCCUGUACCUCCGUGUGGCCAUCUCUUCCCUUGAGUGUCCAUAUGCCAGGUAGGACAAGGACCUCUGAGCACCUGUGGUCCCCAGGGUCCUGGGCAGGAGGGGCAGGUCCCCUCUGUUAUCUGGGGUUCAGCCACCUCCUUUAGAGAGAAGCCUAAUGAGGGAGAAGAGGGGGGCAAAGGGGCCUGGGCUCUUCCUACAGACUCGCCGGAACCUCUUUCUGUUCAUCUCCUCUUGCACACCCUUCUCUCCCUCAGCCUGGAGAGAAUUUAAAAAUCUUGUCUCUGAUGGAGAAACACUGACUCUCCCAAUUUUUCUGUCUCACAUCAGUCCAGCUGUUUUAAAUGUAAAAGAAAAAAAAAUUAGAAGGCUUUCCUAUUUAUUUCUGUGGAAGUUUCCUCUUGGAGUAAAAGUCACCUAGGGUGCUUCCCUUCCUGGCUUCCCUGUCCUUGGGCUCUUGAGCUGAUAGAGGAGGACCCUGAGUCAGGACUAGUCUCAGAAUGUGGUUCCAGGGCCCCCUAGAGUCAAGACUGUUUCACAAUAAUACUAAGAUAUUCUUUGCCUAUUUCAUUCUCCUUCUCUCACAAAUGUGUGCUAGAGUUUUCUAGAAGUUUCUUGACACUGUACUGCAAGGGACUGAAUGCAAAAGAAAUGAGAGUCCAGCUGUCUUCUGUUGAACUACUGUAUUCUAUUAAAGAGAAUUGUAAAAAUGUAAAUAAAUGCCACUCGUUUUAUUAAAGUUUCCUUUUGUUUUGCAAAAUACACCUCUUUUGAUAACUAUGUUAUUUAUGUUAACAUGAAAUGUUUAUUGUUACUUCUAAAAGAACUGACACAUCAACAUUUUUAAAAUAUUCUCAGUUGUAAUUUCUAGGAGAGAAUCAGUCACAUAACAAAAGGUCUUUGGGGUCCUCAAUAAUUUUUAUGAGUGUAAAGGGGUACUGGGACCAAAAAGUUGGAGGACCACUGCUUCCCCUCACCCCCCCACACAAGGCUGCUACUUUCACCUGGUGGCUAUCAGUUCAACUGUCCUUCCCAGCCUCUCAAGGGUUUGAAUUUCCUCUUCUGCUAGCUCUGAGCCAGGAUGGCCACAUGAGGGCAGCAGAUUCUGCCAGAAGCCACCGUGAGGCCCUCAAGCCCCGGUGUUCAGGGUUCAGCCUACAGCACUGAGUUCCUGUCGUUCCAGUGGUGCUGGGGAAGCAAAGGUGAUAAACCCAAGUCCUUGCCUGUAGAAGGUGCAGCACCCCUGUGCGCCCUCCCAGUGAGCCGAGGAGCCAGGAGAGGACUAGGUUUGAUCCAGGCCCAGGCCAGACACUGACCACAUGGGAGAGGUUGACAUGUUUGGGAAUGAACAUUACCUCGAUGUCUAGCUGAGCCGAGAAGCCCAUUUUCCAGGUUCUCAGCCUUAAUCUGGACGUGCUCCUUCUCUUCAGUACUGCCCGCAAGGAAGGAGGAUCCUGCCCUCCUUACUGUUAAGUAGCAUGUAGUUAACACAAUAAAGGGGUAAGUAAGGCGAGAGAGGGAGCAAAGGAGUUCUUCUCUCCUUUUAUCGCAUCUUGGAUGAAGGUAGAGGUAAAGGGCAUAUGUGAAGGGCCUCAUUUUUCAACAGCCAUGGAAACCUCUAACAAAGGAAAAAGAGAGCCUGUGGUCAUUUAAUACAGACAAUCCUCUCAUUUUCUGUUAGCUAAUGACCUCUUCCCAAUAACCUUAAAGCAACCUGGCAUGAAUAGCUAGCUUGAACAUUGGUCAUUAGAAAAGGCGUAAGAUCUAAAUUUGUAAGACAAGCCCUCAAGUCCCAAGUCUCCUGGCUUCUGGACUGUGUUUUCUCCCUUUUACUAUUAUGCCAACCCCACAUUGUUUUUUUUUUCCCUAAAUAGUCAUCAUCAUAUUUAGUCAACCCACUGAUACACAAAAAAUCAGCAGUUUCUGCUGAAGCAUGGCCUAGCAGUUAAGAGCAGGGUUUUGGAGAGCAGGCAAAGUUGUAUUCCUGGUUCCUUGGGGAAGUAGCUUAACCUCUGAGCCUCAAUUUUCUCAACUGUAAAAAAAGGGUGAUGAAAUGUCAUAGGGUUACUGUGAGAAUCAUGUGACAGGUAUCUAAAGUGCUCAAAUCAGUGGGUGGCUCAUAGUAAGUGCUCAAUAAACAGUAGCUGUAAACUUCACUGCAUUUGAAAUUCACAACUUUUUCAGUUGUCAGGGUCAGAAAGAAUCUCAAAAAUCAUCUAAUUCAGUAUUUCCUAAAAUGUGUUCAAAACACUCUCUUCCUUCAAAUGUUCUAAGCAAAAGGGUUCUGUGGCCAAGUAUGAUGGGGAUUUAAAACCCAGGGUAGUGUAUUAAAGGCUCAGAGAAGUCACAGAGUAUAAAGAAACCUGUUGAAUGUCGACAGCAUUUUCCAGCCUUUGUCAACUGAUUUGACCACAGAAUCCUUUUCAUACAUCACCUCUUAAGUUCCAGGUUGCUAGUAUUGGCACAGCACAUCCUAACCAUCUACCAAUGCAGAAAUCUGUCCUAUGAUUCCAAUCAGUAAUCGAGCGGACUCUGUUGGAACAUCCAGAGACAAGGAGCUUGAUCACCCCGAACAAUCAUAAUGGCCAAUAGGUGAAGAAACUGAGGCUUAGAAGAGCUAAGUAACUUGCCCAAGGUCACAUGGCUAGAAAGUUCCAGAAUGCAACUCAGGUUGGCCUCUUACUCAGCCUUCCUCACCCCGGUACUACUUCCUACAGCCGCUCAAUCAUCUCUGACUGUUGGAAGGCCCUUCCUUGUGUUGAGCUGAGAUCCAGUUCCCAUCACUCCCCUUUCUCCCAGGUGUACACACAGCAGUUUCUGUUCUAAAUAUCUUCUGUAGUCAUUGUUUCUAGAACUUUAUCCACUUUGCUCCUUUUUCUCUCGACUUGCUCAAGUACUCCAGCAUCCCUUUUGGACUGAAAUACCCAAAACUGAAUACAAUUCUGUCUACUCUACUAUAAUAUGAUGGUUGCAUUUUGGGGAAAUCACACAUUAUCAAAAAACAACUUUUUAAAGAGGAGUUCUAAACUAACAUAAGAACUGUUUUCUUUAAAUCAGGGUCAGGGAAUAGAAAGUUUUAGACGUACAAUAACAGAAUUAAUUUUCUUGCAAACAAUUUGAUAAGAAAGCUGUUUUCAUAGUUCUGGUAGGAUUGCUAUAAAUCCUUAAAUAUCACUUGAUCACCUCUGGCAUUUGCUCAAGGGUAAUAGUCUCAGUUUCUCUCUCUCCCCGCUACCCUUUCCCUCUCUCUCUCUCCCCUCCCACCCCACACACAGCAGCACCAUGUUAACAGUUUCUCGCCAGUCUCACAACUUUGACUUAUUAUCUCAUGGUUUAGUAAACAAGGCACAAAGCUGUUAAAACCUAGUAGCUGGACUCUUCCUAACAGUUUUUUCCCUCCCAUACUCCGUGCUAAUUCCCAGUUGAGAUCUGCUCAUAACCAACAGCAGUCUCCAGUGAUGCAAAAUAUUUUUUUCUAUUUCAUCAGUUUCAUUCUGGCCAAUUCUAGUUCUGAAACACCACUGAAGGAAAAACACUUGCAUUCUCAGUGUAGUUUGACCAACGUAGCUUGGAACUAUCACUUUCUUGUUCUGAACCUUAUACCUCAUUAGCUCAACUCAAGAGCUCAUUAUUUUGGUUUGCUGCAAUACCCCACAGAUACCUAUGGAGCUUUCCUUCAACAAAAAUGAACCCCCCUCCAUUCUGCUAUACAUCUGCAGUCAUAUUUUGGAGUCCCCAUGGAGGAUGUGAUGCUUAGAACUGUUCAAGUUCAUCUGUCUAGACCUGGCUCGUUGUGCCAGCCCAUGGUGAUCACCUGGGAAGCUGACUCUCCUUCAUCCUGUGUCCUCUGUGAAACCGAUAAUCAUUACCCGUAGAUCAGCACUUUCCAACAGAAUGUUCUAUAGUGAUGGAAAUGCUGUAUAUCUAAGCUGUGCAAUACAAUGGUCACUAGCCACAUGUGCCUAUUGAACACUUAAAAUAAGGCUAGUGCAACUGACAAACUGAAUUUUAAAUUGUAUUUAAUUUUAAUUAAUUUUAAACCAAUUAUUCACACACAGCUAGUGGAUAGCAUAUUGGAUAGGGCAGAUGUUCACCUGAGUCAAGGGUAAAAAUAUUGAACAGGAAACCUAAUUCUGGAUGGGGUAUGGUCAUUCUGUGAUUAUCAACCACUUCAUACUGAGUCACAGUCUUAUCUAUCAGUGAAGUGAGUAGUGUUGAAGGACAUUGUCAAAUGCCUUGUGAAAUCAUGAUGUCCCUUUUUUUUUUUUUUGCUUUGUUGUGUCUUCAUUGCUGCACGUGGGCUUUCUCUAGUUGUGGCACACAGGCUUCUCACUGUGGUGGCUUCUCUUGCUGCGGAGCAUGGGCUCUAGGUGCGUGGGCUUCAGUAGUUGCAGCAGGCGGGCUCAGUAGUUGUGGCUCACAGGCUUAGUUGCUCUGUGGCAUGUGAGAUCUUCCCGGACCAGGGAUCGAACCUGUGUCCCCUGCAUUGGCAGGCAGAUUUCUUAACCACUGUGCCACCAGGAAGUCCCAUGAUGUCCUAUUUAUAUGUGUGGUUGACCUGCUCUGCCAGCUUGGUGAUUUUUUUUUUUUCAGAAAAUAGAUUUUUCCCCAUUUUUGUAGAAGUAAUACAUGCCCACUGUGACAAAAUAUAGGAAAGUAUGUAGAGGAAUUAACAGUGACUAAUAAUUCUACUAUCUGAGAUAACUACUGUUAACAUUUUAGCAUAUUCCCUUCAUCACAUUUCUGUGCUGGUAUUUUUCACAUCACUGAGAGCAUAUAUUCUCUGGUAUUUGCAUCCUGAUUUUUUCAUUGACAGUAUUUCAUAUGUAUUUUCUCAUAUCAUUAAACAUUCUUCGAAAACAGUCUUAAAGGCUGUAUAAUAGUUCAUUGUAUGAAUGAUUAAUAAUUUACAUAACCAUUCCCCUAUUGCUGUACUUUUAGAUUGUAUCUAAUUUUUUGCUAUUAUAAAUAAAAUGGUGACAACA